rnacentral:rRNA from 1 species
CGGACGGGUGAGUAACGCGUGGGUAACCCGCCUCAUACAGGGGGAUAACAGUUAGAAAUGACUGCUAAUACCGCAUAAGCGCACAGAAUCGCAUGAUUCGGUGUGAAAAACUCCGGUGGUAUGAGAUGGACCCGCGUCUGAUUAGCUAGUUGGUGGGGUAAAGGCCUACCAAGGCGACGAUCAGUAGCCGACCUGAGAGGGUGAUCGGCCACAUUGGGACUGAGACACGGCCCAAACUCCUACGGAAGGCAGCAG